AGGCGACGACGGGUAGCCGGCCUGAGAGGGUGACCGGCCACACUGGGACUGAGACACGGCCCAGACUCCUACGGGAGGCAGCAGUGGGGAAUAUUGSACAAUGGGCGCAAGCCUGAUGCAGCGACGCCGCGUGAGGGAUGACGGCCUUCGGGUUGUAAACCUCUUUCAGUAGGGAAGAAGCGAAAGUGACGGUACCUGCAGAAGAAGCGCCGGCUAACUACGUGCCAGCAGCCGCGGUAAUACGUAGGGCGCAAGCGUUAUCCGGAAUUAUUGGGCGUAAAGAGCUCGUAGGCGGUUUGUCGCGUCUGCCGUGAAAGUCCGGGGCUCAACUCCGGAUCUGCGGUGGGUACGGGCAGACUAGAGUGAUGUAGGGGAGACUGGAAUUCCUGGUGUAGCGGUGAAAUGCGCAGAUAUCAGGAGGAACACCGAUGGCGAAGGCAGGUCUCUGGGCAUUAACUGACGCUGAGGAGCGAAAGCAUGGGGAGCGAACAGGAUUAGAUACCCUGGUAGUCCAUGCCGUAAACGUUGGGCACUAGGUGUGGGGGACAUUCCACGUUUUCCGCGCCGUAGCUAACGCAUUAAGUGCCCCGCCUGGGGAGUACGG
rnacentral:rRNA from 1 species